GGGGAAUAUUGCACAAUGGGCGAAAGCCUGAUGCAGCAACGCCGCGUGAGUGAUGAAGGUCUUCGGAUUGUAAAGCUCUGUCUUUUGGGACGAUAAUGACGGUACCAAAGGAGGAAGCCACGGCUAACUACGUGCCAGCAGCCGCGGUAAUACGUAGGUGGCGAGCGUUGUCCGGAUUUACUGGGCGUAAAGGGUGCGUAGGCGGAUGUUUAAGUGAGAUGUGAAAUACCCGGGCUUAACUUGGGUGCUGCAUUUCAAACUGGAUAUCUAGAGUGCAGGAGAGGAGAAUGGAAUUCCUAGUGUAGCGGUGAAAUGCGUAGAGAUUAGGAAGAACACCAGUGGCGAAGGCGAUUCUCUGGACUGUAACUGACGCUGAGGCACGAAAGCGUGGGUAGCAAACAGGAUUAGAUACCCUGGUAGUCCACGCCGUAAACGAUGAGUACUAGGUGUAGGAGGUAUCGACCCCUCCUGUGCCGCAGUAAACACAUUAAGUACUCCGCCUGGGAAGUACGAUCGCAAGAUUAAAAACUCU
rnacentral:rRNA from 1 species